rnacentral:rRNA from 1 species
UCUGGUUGAUCCUGCCAGUAGUCAUAUGCUUAUCUCAAAGAUUAAGCCAUGCAUGUCUAAGUACACGAUUUUAUAUAUCGAAACCGCGGAUGGCUCAUUAUAACAGCUAUGAUUUGAGAGAUAUUAUCAUUUGCCACAAGAUAACUGUGGUAAUUCUAGAGCUAAUAUUUUAUAGAAUGCCGUGACUCACGAAGCGGCGGAUUUAUUAGAUCAAAACUAACCUGUCCUAGACAGUUAUUUGAUGACUCUGGAUAACUUUACUGAUCGUACGACCUCUGUGUUGACGACGAAUCUCUUGAAAUGGCUGACCUAUCAACUUUCGAUGGUAAGAUCAAAGCUUACCAUGGUUGUAACGGGUAACGGGGAAUCAGUGUUCGAUUCCGGAGAGGGAGCCUGAGAAACGGCUACCACAUCCACGGAAGGCAGCAGGCGCGAAAAUUACCCAAUGCCGGUUCGGCGAGGUAGUGACAAUAAAUAACAAUAUGGACCCUAGUGGUUUCAUAAUUGCAAUGAGAUUAUUUUAAAUACUUUUUCAAGUAUCAAUUGGAGGGCAAGUCUGGUGCCAGCAGCCGCGGUAAUUCCAGCUCCAAAAGCGUAUAUUAAAGUUGUUGCAGUUAAAAAGCUCGUAGUUGAAAUUGAGGUAGAUGUAAUUUGAAAUCUUAUGAUUGAUUAUUACUAUACCUUUUCUUCGUGUAUAUUAGUGAGGGACUUAAUUGUUUUUUACUAGUAACCGAAAUGUUUACUUUGAAAAAAUUAGAGUGCUUAAAGCNAAUGGAUGUCUAAGCACACGAUUUUAUAUAUCGAAACCGCCGAUGGCUCAUUAUAACAGCUAUGAUUUGAGAGAUAUUAUCAUUUGCCACAAGAUAACUGUGGUAAUUCUAGAUCUAAUAUUUUUAAAACGCCGUCACUCAUAUUGACAUUUUAAAGUGAGAGCUUGAAAACUGUUUUUACAGUUAUUUUUUAUUAUAACAGUUAUUUUAACAUUAUAUUGUCUUUUUUUGUUAAAUUAUAGAACUAAAAUAAACCUUUAAGGAUUCAUAAUAUUCUUCCAAAUAUAA